rnacentral:rRNA from 1 species
CAGCAGCCGCGGUAAUACGAAGGGUGCAAGCGUUAAUCGGAAUUACUGGGCGUAAAGCGUGCGUAGGCGGUGAGUUAAGUCUGCUGUGAAAUCCCCGGGCUCAACCUGGGAAUGGCAGUGGAUACUGGCUCGCUAGAGUGUGUCAGAGGAUGGUGGAAUUCCCGGUGUAGCGGUGAAAUGCGUAGAGAUCGGGAGGAACAUCAGUGGCGAAGGCGGCCAUCCGGGACAACACUGACGCUGAGGCACGAAAGCGUGGGGAGCAAACAGGAUUAGAUACCCCCGUAGUCCCUGUCUCUUAUAC